rnacentral:rRNA from 1 species
GACGAACGCUGGCGGCGUGCUUAACACAUGCAAGUCGAACGAAGUGGCGCACGGGGGAGUAACGCGUAAACAACCUGCCCUUCAGAGGGGGACAACAGUUGGCAACGACUGCUAAUACCGCACACGGUAGGAGGGGUUUGCGUUGGAUUAGCCAGUUGGCGGGGUCACGGCCCACCAGGGCGAUGAUCAGUAGCCGGUCUGAGAGGGUGAACAGCCACAUCGGGACGGGAACACGGCCCAGACGCCUACGGGAGGGAGCAGUGGGGAAUCUUCCGAAAUGGACGAAAGUCUGACGGAGCAACGCCGCGGGAGGGAUGACGGCCUUCGGGUUGUAAAGCUCUGUUAAUCGGGACGCGGUACCGGAAUAGAAAGCAACGGCUAACUACGUGCCAGCAGCCGCGGUAAUUC